CUCUUGUGUUUUCGAUCCAGUUAUUUACUUCGUUGGAAGACAUAAUACUAUAAGAUGAAGCGAGCUAAAGAAAGUGGUGCUGUGUAUAGAAAAAAGAGAAAGGCAAGAGAGGAAGUAUUAAACAAGAAUAAAGGGGCACUCUUUAAAUACAUCAGUCGUAUAGAAACCAAAUCAUUAUCAAAUUCAAGGGAUUCAAGUUCAACUUCAAGCGAUUCGUCAACUUCAACUCCUUCAAGUGAUGAAGAACAUGAAGAAGAAAAUAUUCCGGGACCAGCUGUGGACAGAGUGGACAUAAAAGAUGUUGGCCUAUGGCCAAGCAAGAUUAGCAAUGACACACGGAUCUUUCUGGUACGUCAAGGUGCGUCUGUGGUUCAAAAUCUAGAUUCUGAUUUUGGUGAAGUAAUUCGUGAAGGUGUGUCAACCAAAGGACAAACUAGAAAACUAACACGCGAAUGGUUUUUUCAAACUCUGCCAAAUGGUGAAAGAAUGUUGAGAUCAUGGAUGGUGUACUCCCCUUCCAAGGAAGCUCUUUACUGCUUUUGUUGCAAACUGUUUAAUUCUGAGGAUGGAUUCAACAUAUGGUGGAAACUGAAUCCUAGAAUAUCCGAGCACGAAUCCAGUGCAGCUCACGUUCGGAAUUUCACACAAUGGAAGGAGUUGGAAAUUAGGAUUGCUCGUGGAGCAACAAUUGAU
rnacentral:lncRNA from 1 species